GUGGCUAUCACAGUUCACAGGAAGGCAGUGAGAGCUCCAAACUCAGCUCCAUGAUGAGAAAGAAAGGAGCAGGACUACAACCUGUCACUGCUGGCAUACAAGCACAGCUCUGCUUCUCUGUGUCAUGAGGGCAGUAACCUUUGAGACAGAGUGGGCAGAAGGGACGGUAUUUUCCAGAAGUCAUGAGGUACUACUGGCUUUUGCUACUUCUUAAGCUGUACAAGGGCACCUCGAUCAAAGCUAACACAAAUUUCCAGACUAUUAACCAAAGGAUUUCUCUCCUGUACCAGGGUCUGUUUGUUUGAAGACACUAUGGAUUUGAUUUUAUUUUAAAAGAAGACAACUUUUCUUCAUAAUUACACUGAAAGAGAGAGGUAAUGUCUUCAACCAAAAAAAGAACGUAGACCGGUGUUCAAGUGAGGCAAUUUGAUUCUUGUGUGGAGCUUGGAAGUCGCUAGCUGAGGACUAUUCUGGGGACUGAGCUUGCCAGCAUCUCUGGUUCUUCUGGAAAAUAUGCUUUAUAUUAGUAGAUUUAAAGUGGAAGUGUUUGGUGUGCUAGAUGCGGCCCUGGACUCCCCCUCUGGAUCACAGGAGAUGAGAAGCAAAAACAUUGAGGCUCUGGAUCAGUCUUGCAGCUGUUGUGGGUAUUUACAGAUGGAAAAAGAACUUGGAGAUGUCCCAUGGCUGGCUCAUUUAAAUGACUAUACAGUUCUGCUUCUUGC